NNUUAUGGAGAGUUUGAUCCUGGCUCAGAGUGAACGCUGGCGGCGUGCCUAAUACAUGCAAGUCGAACGAUGAAGCUUCUAGCUUGCUAGAAGUGGAUUAGUGGCGCACGGGUGAGUAAUGCAUAGGUUAUGUGCCCUUUAGUCUGGGAUAGCCACUGGAAACGGUGAUUAAUACUGGAUACUCCCUACGGGGGAAAGUAGCACUCAAUAAUGCCCUUGUGGUGUUUUUAGCUGCACAGAGAGUGAAGGAAGUGUCGCAGAAGAUUCUAUAAGUUUAUAUGUAAUAAAUGUCAUAGAAUCCUGUGUGGCAAUUGCUUUGCUAUGUGUGUAUGAUAAGAAUAGCAUAAGGGUAUUAUUGAGUGCUCUCGCUAAAGGAUCAGCCUAUGUCCUAUCAGCUUGUUGGUGAGGUAAUGGCUCACCAAGGCUAUGACGGGUAUCCGGCCUGAGAGGGUGAUCGGACACACUGGAACUGAGACACGGUCCAGACUCCUACGGGAGGCAGCAGUAGGGAAUAUUGCUCAAUGGGGGAAACCCUGAAGCAGCAACGCCGCGUGGAGGAUGAAGGUUUUAGGAUUGUAAACUCCUUUUGUAAGAGAAGAUUAUGACGGUAUCUUACGAAUAAGCACCGGCUNACUCCGUGCCAGCAGCCGCGGUAAUACGGAGGGUGCNAGCGUUACUCGGAAUCACUGGGCGUAAAGAGCGCGUAGGCGGGAAAGUAAGUCAGAUGUGAAAUCCUGUAGCUUAACUACAGAACUGCAUUUGAAACUACUUUUCUAGAGUAUGGGAGAGGUAGGUGGAAUUCUUGGUGUAGGGGUAAAAUCCGUAGAGAUCAAGAGGAAUACUCAUUGCGAAGGCGACCUGCUGGAACAUUACUGACGCUGAUGCGCGAAAGCGUGGGGAGCAAACAGGAUUAGAUACCCUGGUAGUCCACGCCCUNAACGAUGAAUGCUNGUUGUUGCCCUGCUUGUCAGGGNAGUAAUGCAGCUAACGCAUUAAGCAUUCCGCCUGGGGAGUACGGUCGCAAGAUUAAAACUCAAAGGAAUAGACGGGGACCCGCACAAGCGGUGGAGCAUGUGGUUUNAUUCGAAGAUACGCGAAGAACCUUACCUAGGCUUGACAUUGAUAGAAUCCGCUAGAGAUAGUGGAGUGUCUAGCUUGCUAGACCUUGAAAACAGGUGCUGCACGGCUGUCGUCAGCUCGUGUCGUGAGAUGUUGGGUUAAGUCCCGCAACGAGCGCAACCCUCGUCCUUAGUUGCUAGCAGUUCGGCUGAGCACUCUAAGGAGACUGCCUUCGUAAGGAGGAGGAAGGUGAGGACGACGUCAAGUCAUCAUGGCCCUUACGCCYAGGGCUACACACGUGCUACAAUGGGGCAUACAAUGAGACGCAAUACCGCGAGGUGGAGCAAAUCUCUAAAAUGUCUCUCAGUUCGGAUUGUAGUCUGCAACUCGACUACAUAAAGCUGGAAUCGCUAGUAAUCGUGAAUCAGCAAUGUCACGGUGAAUACGUUCCCGGGUCUUGUACUCACCGNNCGUCACACCAUGGGAGUUGUAUUCGCCUUAAGUCGGGAUACUAAAUUGGUUANCGCCCACGGCGGAUGCAGCGACUGGGG
rnacentral:rRNA from 1 species